AUGAGCGACAUGCCCUGGAAGUACACCCCAUCGACCUUCACCACGCGCUCCGUCGCGGGCUCGGUGUCCGUGUAUGUAGAGGAAGCAGAAGCCGGCGUUGAGCUCAGGAUCGUCGUGGGUCCGCACGAGCUCCACCUUGUCGAGCUCGGCCAUGAGCCCGACGACCCCAUCCCCCACGACGACAAGGUCAAGGCAAGCGAAGGUGGAGGGCCUGGUGGAGAAGGAAGCGAGGGGCUCGGGCUAGCGGAGGGCAGGGAGUCGUGA
rnacentral:rRNA from 1 species